rnacentral:lncRNA from 10 species
UUCCAUUUCCCUACCAAAACAAAAGCAACAAAAAAGAAAAUUAAAAAUCCUCAUUCUCUGGAAAUGCUUGAAGAAGGGAAAAAAUAAAUUGGAGAUACAAUGAUUGGCAAAAAUGACAUCUUUAUUUAUUUUUAAUAAAAGAUAAAUGUAAUGUAGAGCCAUGGCCUUAUUCUUCUAAACUUCUGUGGGACUUACACAGUUUAUUAUGUAAGUCUCUGUAAUUCAAGUUACCCGGAAAGUUCAAUUUCAUGUGUGAUUAUUAUUGCCUAUUGAAAGUGCAUCUGAUUUGUUAUAACAGGAACCCUGUAGGGGAAAUAAUUGUAUGUUGUUAGCAAUGAAUAUAUGUAAACCUUUAAAAAUGAAUUAAUGUUUUUGAUAUAGCAUGUUUAAUUCAAGCUAGUCUGUGUUCAAUUAUUGGAAGCAGGGAGUGAACGCUCUAAGAAAUAAAAUAACCUAGGGUGAAACACCUUAUUUUAUGAAAAACUAAUUUUUAGGAGCAUUUUCUUUUAUACUAUGUAAAAAAAUCCCUGAAAGAUGAACAGACUUUGACAGCUGUUAUAGGUGAGAGCCUCAAGUAAAGAUAAAAUUAAAUGUUUUCCUUAAAUGCUAUUGCCCAAAUAAUGAAUAUCCAUAAUUGAAAACUGAGAUUACCUUAUACUUUGCUUUGUUCUCUCUGCCAGAGUCCUACCCACUGUAUUAGUUGUUAGAGUUGUGGAACUUAACCGAAGCUUUCUCUGGAUUCCAGAUGUUUUAAGAAUAUUUUCAGCUGCAUGGCUUGACAGCCUUGGGAUUCCCUCACACAUUCACAGUCUUUUUUGGAUCAGUCUGAUGUGAGCAUGAAAACUGGGAGUUGUGGAGCCCACUUAGGAAAUGAUUGCAAUUGUCCAGGAGACAGAUGAUGGUAAUUAAGUUUCCAUCAGCCUGGAACUCAGGACAGAAGAUACAUAUUCUGUAUGUAGAGAUGAGGAAACAGUAGAGAGGUUAACUAAUUUGCCCAAAGUCAUGAAAUCAGUGAAUGAAUUAAAACUUAGGAGAUCUGGUGUUCAAGAUACUAACCACCAUUACAGUAUAGACACAUGGAUACAAAUGCCGAUGCGUUUAUCUUUGAUUGCUUGUUUGAUGUUUGUUUUCUUUACCUUAAGAUCUCUGAGAUCAAGG